rnacentral:lncRNA from 1 species
GUGUGCAAUUAUUUAUCUAGUGUCAAAGAUAUGAUCGCUUAUAAUGGAGGAAAAAGUUUAUUGUACAAUUGAGGUUACAUCUUGUUAAAUGUGGUGAUGUAUGACACCGUUAGUGAGGGGGGACUAUGGGUAGAACCGUAGAAGUUUUGAUGUAUGCAGGAUGGCAUACCAGGAGAUGUCUUAAGAGAGUGGAGAAUAGUGAGGAUUUGUAGAACAAAGUUUUGUGAGGUAAGUACUAUAAAGGAAGGUAGAUUAGGAAUCUUAGGAAGAAAAAGUUUCAGAAAAUGGUGAUUGAAGAUAUUUUGUGAAACAAAUGGUGCCAAGAAAAUGCUUCACUGGAAGCAUGUUUCAAAGUUAUAGGAUGGAUUUCAGUCAGUCUACUAGUUUCCGUUGAUUGGAACCUCGUUAAGGUUAGCCAGGUUUGCAGAGGGACGAAAUUGCCUUUGUUUUAAUAGUGAAUGAGGCUGGGACUUAGCUUCUUCUCACUCACUUUGCCCUUUUCUCGAUCAGGAUGGGAUGAUAGGUGAUGGAGAUGCAUAGGUUAAGAGGUUGGUUACGUUUGAUUUAGGGAAAAAAAGUUGAGAAUAUAUGAAAUUGACAAUUUUAAGAGAACAAAAGUAAAAUAUUCCAUCCUCAUCUAGCUAACCUGAGGGAUGUAUAAGCAAUAAGUUACAAAAUUUCAUGGAUGAAAAUGCAAAUAUAGAAAAGACAGGGAUCAAUAAGCAAAUAUAAAAUAUUUUAGGGACUAAUAUAUAAAAGUUUUUUGGGUUUUGGGGAAUUGUGACACUUCUGGAUAUUUAAGACAUGACAACA